UUUGCAGCAUACUUGUCUAGC
rnacentral:misc_RNA from 1 species